rnacentral:rRNA from 1 species
GAUGAACGCUGGCGGCGUGCCUAAUACAUGCAAGUCGAGCGAACGGACGAGAAGCUUGCUUUUCUGAUGUUAGCGGCGGGCGGGUGAGUAACACGUGGAUAACCUACCUAUAAGACUGGGAUAACUUCGGGAAACCGGAGCUAAUACCGGAUAAUAUUUUGAACCGCAUGGUUCAAAAGUGAAAGACGGUCUUGCUGUCACUUAUAGAUGGAUCCGCGCUGCAUUAGCUAGUUGGUAAGGUAACGGCUUACCAAGGCAACGAUGCAUAGCCGACCUGAGAGGGUGAUCGGCCACACUGGAACUGAGACACGGUCCAGACUCCUACGGGAGGCAGCAGUAGGGAAUCUUCCGCAAUGGGCGAAAGCCUGACGGAGCAACGCCGCGUGAGUGAUGAAGGUCUUCGGAUCGUAAAACUCUGUCAUUAGGGAAGAACAUAUGUGUAAGUAACUGUGCACAUCUUGACGGUACCUAAUCAGAAAGCCACGGCUAACUACGUG